UUUUUUUUUUUUUUUUUUAAAGAUUUUAUUUAUUUAUUCAUGAGAGACACACAGAGAUAGAAGCAGAGACAUAGGAAGAGGGAGAAGCAGGCUCCCUGCAGGGAGCCUGAUGUGGGACUCGAUCCCGGGACUCCAGGAUCACGCCCUGAGCCAAAGGCAGACAUUCAACCACAGAGCCACCCAGGCGUCCCACUUAUGCCUGAUUUAAUAAAAUCUAAGAUGUUUCUAAAAUUCAAGUAGAAAAGCAAAUUUAUUUGAAGUUGCAAAACUGGAUUUUCCUCCAGAUACCAACUCUUUCUGCCCAGGGAUGGGUUUGUGUUUCCCCAAGGAGGGGUUUUUUUUUUUGUUUGAUUGAUUUAGACAGAAGCAAUCAUUCUAAUGAAACCCCUCUUUCAUAAUUUAUGUGUACAUAAUGACUAAAGUUGACUCAUUUACAGUGUUUUAUUUAGCCUAAUGUUCUGAUCCAGCAGCCAAUGGAUUCUGAGAAAGAGGCCAGUGUAGAGCAAUCUUCUUAAAGGUCUCUGAUUUCAAAUGACCCAUAAUAUGAAUGAGUAGAAAAGACAGAUCAAAGACAUCAAGAAAAGUCAUAAAGACUAGGGACCUGGAGACUUCAUGACUUGUCUACAGGGAUACAUGAGUAAUAGUGUAUGAUAAUAUACAUUAUUCUGAUCUGGCCAGUUCUUCCAGUUUUUAAAAACAAGCCAAAAAGCUUGAUUUUUAUGAGAGAUUUUUAUGUGUUUAAAUGUUAGCAAAUUUUCAUUAAAACACCUGUAGAUUAACCUGCAGGGGCCCACAGGCCAACUCUGAUUAAAAGUUGUAGGAUGGGGGUGCCUGGGUGACUCAGUUAAGCGUCUGACUCUUGAUCUCAGCUCAGUUCUUGAUCUCAGGGUCAUGAGUUCAAGCCCCACACUGAGUUCUGCACUGGACAUGUAGCCCUACUUCAAAAAAGUGGUGGGAAUUUGUAAAUAAUGGUGCAAUAAACAUAGGGGUGCACAUAUAUUUUCGAAUUAGUGUUUUCAUUUUCUUUGAUGAAUGGAUAAAGAUGUGCUACACACACACACACACACACACACACACACACACACAGGAAUAUUACCCAUAAAAAAUGAAAUGCCACUUUCAACAACAUGGGUAGGUCUAGAGAGCAUAAUGCUAAGUGAAAUAAGUCAGAGAAAGACAAAUACCAUGUCACUUUACUCAUAUAUGGAAUUUAAGGAAUAAAACAAAUGAACAAAGGAAAAAGAGACAAAAAAAUAGACUCUUAAAUACAGAGAACAAACUGAUGGUUGCCAGAUGGCAAGUAGAUGAAGAGGAAGGAGGCAGGGGAAUGAGUGAAACAGGUGGAGGGAAUUAAGAGUACACUUAUUGCGAUGAGCACUGAGUAAUAUAUAGAAUUGCUGAAUUGUUAUAUUGUACACCUGAAACUAAUAUAACACUGUGUUAAUGAUACUUGAACUUUAAAAAUAAAUUUUUUAAAAAGUGUGGGAAUUUGCACUUCAUUCACUGGAUGAUACAAUGUGAAUAAGCAGUCUGCAUCUAAAAUCUGCCUGAGAUCCCAAAUAAAUCACUUUUGCCAUGACUAAGGACUUCUAACCACCUCUCAAUCAGUAAGUCUAUGUCAUUAUCCCCCGUUACUUCACAGAGACUACAGGAUCAUGGGGAAUUAGGAUGUCCUAGAAGUAGCCUUCAUCCCUGUGACUGUCCACAUGUUUUGAAAUAACCCAGGUUCAGACUUUGGCUCCAACUAGAAACAUUUUAGUAGAGCUAGGAAAAACAGCUGUGAGGCUUAGGGGCUUGAAGUUGCAUUGCAUUUCCAAACAAAUUCAUAAGUAAGUUUUAAAAAAUACUUAAAUUAAAAAUGCCUUAGCUCGGGGGAUCCCUGGGUGGUGCAGCGGUUUAGCGCCUGCCUUUGGCCCAGGGCACGAUCCUGGAGACCCCGGAUUGAAUCCCACGUCGGGCUCCCGGUGCAUGGAGCCUGCUUGUGUCUCUGCCUCUCUCUCUCUCUCUCUCUCUCUCUCUCUUUGUGACUAUCAUAAAUAAAUAAAAAUUUUUUUUAAAAUGCCUUAGCUCAAAUUUUGACCAUCUUCAUCUCUACACACCCUACUGGGACAACCAGGGGCACUUCACUGCUAAUCAAUUUGAGAAAGAUCCCUUGAGAAAGACAUCAUUUACACAUUUUAAAGAGAAAAACAUUAGCUUUUCUCCUCAGAAUUCUCUGGGAAACAGUGCAGGUUUUUGGGGGAGAGGGGGUUGUAACAGUGAUAUUUUAAUAAUAAAUUUCAUGGCCAAAAAGACUUGAAGGAUAUCUGUCUGCUUAGACUUUAUAGUCUGGGUGGCUUAAACAAAAGAAAUUUAUUUCCUCACAGCGUCAGAGAUCAGAAGUCCAAGACCAAGGUGCCGGCUGACUCAGGUGCUGAUGAGGGCUCUCCUUGCUGACAGCCACCACCUCACCUGUCCUCCAUGGCUUCUCCUUGUUGCAUGCAUCUAUGGAAACUAAAUAAUUAAAGCAUCUCCUUUUUAAAAAUUAUAAGCCCUGGGGUGCCUGGGUGGCUCAGUCAGUUAAGCACCUGCUUUCGGCUCGGGUCAUGAUCCUGGGGUCCUGGGAUUGAGCCCCAUGUCAGGCUCCCUGCUCAGAGGGGAGUCUGCUUCUCCCUCUUCCUCUGUUCCUCCCCCUGCUCAUGCUCAUGCUCAUGCUGUGUGUGUGUCAAAUAAAUAAAAUCUUAAAAAAAAAAAAAAAAAGAAGUUGUAAGUCCUAAUGUUGGAUUUAUUUUAACUAAAUUACUUUAAAACCCUUACCCUGACCUACAGUCCUUUUAAACUCUAAUAAACAGUGUUUAAUUUUUACAUUCACUAGGCAUUCAUAAUGUCUCAACUUAAGUCUCUGAAACAAUUAUUCCUCUAUUGUUAAAUAAUCUCCAAGUUUCAGCUUUCCACAGUACCCUAAGGCAUCACUUACAAGAUGAACAACAGGUAUGGCUUUUAUCAGCAUUUUCUUUAGAGCUCUCUGAGAAGUCAUCAGUUUAUCAUUUCUACUAGAAGACUGAACUCAGUAACAUUGCAGACCUCUUGAUUUCACCUUUGUGCUUUGGGAAAUGAGCUACCUGACUGAACAAGUCUGGUUUUGAAGAAUAACUUGUAAUAUUUUCAGCUAUUUGUAAUUUUUAAAAAUGGAACCCCUUUCUUUACUUUUUUGAAAUAAUACUGAGAGAUGCCCUCAGGUACUCAGUUCCUCCCACCUCCCCUCUGAAUGCCUCGCAGCCAUGUCUGUCCUACCCACUGGCUGCAGCUGGUUCAUGGGCAGCUUGUUCAAGGCUGUACUGGCCUGAUCAAAUUUUUUUUCUCCCAAGAAUUCAGAAGAGAGACAGAGAAAGCCUCAGGCAGUUAAAAUAUGGAUGUCGGAUUUGAACAGACUUGUCACCCAAGAGUACUACUGAGGGCAACUCUGAUGAGUCAUAACCCAACAGCAAAGGAAGCCAGCCCUUAGAAAGUAAGCAGGAUGGAGCAGGUGUAUAGAGCAAAGCAAAGACAAGAGACUCCUGCAACCUAGAAAGACUUUCUCCAUGGUUCCCAGUUCCCAUCCGUCUGAGUAUCCACUGUAGUUAGGAAGACUUAGAGUGAAAUCAGUUCUUUACUGCUUUAAAAUAUAGUGCACAGGGCAGCCCACAUGGCCCAGAGCCGCCUUCAGCCCAGGGUGUGAUCCUGGAGACCCGGGAUCGAGUCCCACGUCGGGCUCCCUGCAUGGAGCCUGCUUCUCCCUCUGCCUGUGUCUCUGCCUCUCUCUUUCUCUCUCUCUCUCUCUCUCUCUCUCUCACGAAUAAAUAAACAGAAUCUUUAAAAAUAAAUAAAUAAAAAUAAAAUAAAAUAAAAUAAAAUAAAAUAAAAUAAAAUAUAAUACAGUGCACUGGUCCCCUGGGUGGCUCAGUCAGUUAAACAUCCAACUCUUGGUUUCAGCUCAGGUCAUGAUCUCAGGGUCAUGAGAUAGAGCCCCAAGUCAGGCUCUGUGCUCAGUGUGGAAUCUGCUUGUCCCUCUCCCUCUGCUCCCCCCCACCACUCGUACUCUUUCUCUCUAAAAUAAAUAAAUAAAAUCUUUAAAGGAAAAUAAAAUAUAGUGCGUUAAUAGAAAAUCUGACUCCAACAGAUUAAGAGACAACUGCCACUGCAAAGCUAGUUUGUUGCUCACAACUCUCAAGAGGAGGAAACCACAUGAGGAGGCACUGGGCUUGGUUGUGAAACAGAAAGAAGAGGGAACUGUGGGCAAAAGCCUCUAUUGUGGCUUCCAUGGGGAGUAACAGGUGAAGUAGGUAAAUAGGUCUAGGAUUAUCCGAGUAAUUCCAGCAGGAUGUGGGACACAGAAGCUGUCCCUAGUUGCCUAGUACUUGCCCUUGGGCUCAUGAAGGCAAGUGUGGAAUGGCCCAGGGUAUAAGAGUCUGAUAAAGAAGAUGGUUGGAAUGUGGACUCUGCAUCAGUUGGUCCAUAUUGGAAAAACAUGCCCCUGGAGAGGACUCCUGAGGAGCCUGCGGAGGGAAUGAGGGAGACAGGAGACCCAGGCAUAGUAUUGGGUUAUCCAGAACAAGGCAUGUUCAGUAUAUGCAUGUAGGUCAGAUGUUAAAGCAUCAAAUUU
rnacentral:lncRNA from 1 species